GACAGAGGGUGCAAACGUUGUUCGGAAUUACUGGGCGUAAAGCGUGUGUAGGCUGCCCCGCAAGUCGGGUGUGAAAGCCCCGGGCUCAACCUGGGAAGUGCACUCGAAACUGCGGGGCUGGAGUCCUGGAGAGGAAGGCGGAAUUCUCGGUGUAGAGGUGAAAUUCGUAGAUAUCGAGAGGAACACCGGUGGCGAAGGCGGCCUUCUGGACAGUGACGUGAC
rnacentral:rRNA from 1 species